rnacentral:rRNA from 1 species
GUAGGGAAUAUUGCGCAAUGGGGGAAACCCUGACGCAGCAACGCCGCGUGAGUGAGGAAGGUCUUCGGAUUGUAAAACUCUUUUAUUAGGGAAAAAUGUCUAGGUGGCUAAUAUCCACUUAGAGUGAUGGUACCUAAGGAAUAAGCACCGGCUAACUUCGUGCCAGCAGCCGCGGUAAUACGAAGGGUGCAAGCGUUGUUCGGAAUCAUUGGGCGUAAAGCGCGCGCAGGCGGGUCAGUAAGUCAGGUGUGAAAUCUCGGAGCUCAACUCCGAAACUGCGCCUGAAACUAUUGGUCUAGAGUAUCGGAGGGGACAGGGGAAUUUCACGUGUAGGGGUAAAAUCCGUAGAGAUGUGAAGGAACACCGGAGGCGAAGGCGCCUGUCUGGACGAUUACUGACGCUGAGGCGCGAAAGCGUGGGGAGCAAACAGGAUUAGAAACCCUGGUAGUCC